UGUCCCUGUCCCAGGUGUGUCGCCCCCCUAGCCCCCCCCCGGACCCCAUCCCCACACUUGUCCCAGCUGUGUGAGCCCCCCCAGUCUCCACCCAGGGACAGCCCUGUUGCCAUUCCCAUUCCAGGUGUGUGACCCCCCCCUCUCCCUCAGCUCCCCCCCCAGCCUUUCAUCCCGGCCUUUCAUCUCCAGUCGUCCUGGCAACACCCCAAAGGGUCUGGAAGUGUUGCCAUGGCACCCAGGGAUGCUCUGAACCCGAGCCAAGGACCCCGCAGCCCCCCCAGGGCUCUGUCCCAGCCUCAGUCCCUCACACCCCAGGGGUGCCCUGCGCCCAGGGGGUGGCAGUGCCAGGGGCAGAGGUGCCCACAGCUGUGCCAUGGCCAUUGGGGAGGACCUGCGCAGCGGCUGCUUCUGGCGGGGGGUGCUGGCGGAGGCCGUGGGGACCCUCAUCCUCGUGGGGGUGGUCCUGGGGGCCUCGGCGGGC